CCUACGGGAGGCAGCAGUGGGGGAUAUUGCACAAUGGGGGAAACCCUGAUGCAGCGACGCCGCGUGGGCGAAGAAGUAUUUCGGUAUGUAAAGCCCUAUCAGUAGGGAAGAAGAAAUGAAGGUACCUGAGACAGAAGCACCGGCUAAAUACGUGCCAGCAGCCGCGGUAAUUCGUAUGGUGCAAGCGUUAUCCGGAUUUACUGGGUGGAAAGGGAGCGCAGGCGGCACGGUAAGCCUGUUGUGAAAGCCCGGGGCCCAACCGCGGGACUGCAUUGGAUACUACCGGGCUGGAGUGCCGGAGAGGUAGGCGGAAUUCCUGGUGUAGCGGUGAAAUGCGUAGAUAUUAGGAGGAACACCAGUGGCGAAGGCGGCUUACUGGACGGUGACUGACGCUGAGGCUCGAAAGCGUGGGGAGCAAACAGGAUUAGAUACCCGGGUAGUC
rnacentral:rRNA from 1 species